GGAUCGAGACCCAGGUCUUUUACCCAAGAGUCUGUGUUGUUUGCAGUUUACCACACUGCUGCUAAUAAUCAUUAGGUAUAUUUGAAGGCUCCCAUGAUUCUGAAUGGAGUCUGUGUUAUCUGGAAAGGUUGGAUUGAUCUCCAGAGACUGGAUGGUAUGGGCUGCCUGGAGUUUGAUGAGGAGCGAGCCCAGAGUACCUUUGACAAACGUUGGCAAGGAUGCGGAACAACAGUUGGUGUGGUGUCUGAUUACAUAAAGUUGAUACGACAUAUGGCAAUAAAUUACUAAAACUGCACAUGUGUAUACCUAUGAUCCAGCAGUUCUGUCCUGAGGCGUGUUAUGCAAUGGGAAUGAAUACAUAUAUUCAUCAAAAGAUAGGUACUAGGACAUUGUAGCGGCAUUAUUGGUUAAUAGCCAGAAAGUAUAAACUGCCCAAAUGCUCACUAACAGUCAAAUGGAUAAAUUGCAUGUUCAUACAGAGAAAUACAAUGAAAAUGAAAAACUACAACUAGCAUACCAGUAUGGGUGAAUUUCACAAAUACAUUGAGUGUAUUAAAAAAGCACAUGCUAUAUGAACCCAUUUAUAUAAAAGUACAAAAAUAGGUAAAACUAAUAAUACAUGUUGUUAAAAGGAAGGAUAGUGGUUUAUCCUUGGGAGAGGAUGGUAGUUCCUGGAAUGGAGGAGAGGACAACCUCUGAGAUGCUGGUGCUGUUCUGUCUCUUCAUAUGGCUUUUAGUUACUGGAAAGUUCAGUUUCUGAAGAUUCAUCAAGCUAUCUUUUAGGACAGUGCUGUCCAGUAGAAUUCAAAUGUGAGCCACAUUAUGUAAAUUAAAAUUUUUUAAAAGCCACAUUUAAAAAGGUUUGAAAAUUAUUAAUUUUAAUAUUUUAUUUAUCCCAGUAUAUCCAAAAUAUCAUUUGAACAUAAAAUCAAUAUAAAUACUUAUUGGGAUAUUUACCUGUUUUGGUAACAAGUAUUUGAAAUCCAUUGUGUAUUUUCCACUUACAGACUCAAAUUAGCAACAUUUCAAGUAUGCAGUAGUCACACGUGGCUAGUGGCUACAGUAUUGAACAACACAGCCUUAAGAUAUGUGUACUUUUUUGUAUGUGUAACUAGUUCAAUAAAAUGUUUUAAAAGUUUCCCACAAAUGAAGGUAUUUCUGAGUAUAAUUGUAUAAACUCAAAAUUGAAUCAUGUUUGCUGAUUGUACUUUCAUUUCUUUAUUUUCUGUAAUUUGUAGGAUAAAUUUCAGUGUUGUUUUUAUAUGUUUGAUUUUCAAUAAUUGCAAUUCUCUAAAAGCUUGAAAAACUGAAAAAUUUGGCGCUUCACCAUUGAAUACUUUAAUCAGAGAUUUCUAACUAAUUUUGAACAAGAUAUAACUGAGGACUCAUUUACAAAAAAAAAAAGAUCAAUGCCAUUUUAGGAACUAGGUUGAUUUCAUAGAAGUUCUUCAAAGGCUCAAAUUUCUAAAAUCCAAAGUGCCUGUAUAAUGUCAUGUGAAGUUAUUUGUAUUCAGCAUCAGCUUUGUCACAGAAAUUUUAGAGUUUAGUCACUUUAACUAUGGAUACAUAAAUAUAUUUGUAAUUUAUGCAACUCUAAUGUCUAAAUGAUUGGUAGAAUACCUCACUACUUUGGAUAAGAAUUGUUUGGAUAACAAUUAUGAAUUUCAUGUGUACCACAACUAAUUACUAGUAAAUUUCUAUUUCAUAGUUUUAAAAAUUCACUGAGAAUGUUAUUUUUUAUACAGUGUUUAAAUGUUUGCUCCACCAACAUUUGUAUUUGUAUUAUCAGUUUAAGAACCGAUAACUUUAUCUUUAUUUUUGUACUUUUAAAAUUAGCAGUCACAAAAAUAUGUUUCACCUUCAAUAUAAUGACCUUCCAAAAGUUCUAUUUUGAUUCUAUAAUAUGAUUAGAAAAAUUGAACCGUAUUGGGUUGAACAGAUUUUCUAUUUGAAGUACCUAAUGACACUGAUGUAAAACUGGUAUCCUUUAGCUUUUUGCAGGGUUUUUCUGUCAGCAAAGCCAACAUAUGAACAGCUUUGCUUUUUGUAUGUUGACGAGAAUGUGAGUGAAAAUUUAGAAGAGUCGUUUGAUUUAAAUAAAAAGUUAUGUUUUACAGAAUGGUGUUAAAUGUACCGUUUGCAGCUGCACAUGUUAAAUUGUCGCCUUUGAAGUAUAUGUUGAUGCUUCUUCAGCAGAUUUAUUUCUUUUGGUUUUCAUGUGAUCAGUGAUACCAUUCUGGUCCCCACAGAGAAUAGGAAAUUUCGUUAUUUUGUACAAAUUAUGCAUUCAUCAUCAGCUUUCUUGGAAAUGAAUUUGAUUCUUAAUUUUUCAUUAAAUAUAUACUUCUAUUUUUUAAAUUCAUUGCACAGAAAGGUAAGUAUUACCAAACUGUAAAAUAAAUGUAGUUGUAGAUUUAGCAAUACAAUAAAGACGAAAUCAGUGUAGCAAGAAUGGUUAAGAAUAGUCUGUAUAUAUGCUCUAUGAGAGCACUGCUAGGUCUUUAUUUACCACAUGGGUUUCACAAACACCCAGCCACCUUUUAUGAUGACCCCACCUGACUACUUUGUGCAGGCUGUGGUAUAGACCAUGGAGUAACAGGCUAGUGUAACGAGUAGCUGGUGGGGACUGGAGUGCUGAAAGCCUCCCACCACCUGAGUCUGGAUAGGGUUAUUUGUCCCUAUCCAUUUGAGCACACUUUAUGGGUGAGUGUAUAGUUUUAUCAGUAAGUACCCUUUGUGCUGUCCUUGAAAGGGAGGUGUUACUUAAGUUCGCAACAGGAAAGGAUCAGGAUAACACUGGAUCACUGAUCAUCUUUCAGAUUUAACCAUUUAAAGUGCAGACUCUGUUCAUUGCACAUACAUUUCACAUCUUACUAGAAAAGACCAAGAUAGAAGCUGGAAUUAGAGAAUAGAGAGCUACCAAAUCUCUCUUAGCUUAUUUUACUACAAAUAUUAGUAAUAAUACUUUUUUUAAUUUUAAUAAGGUAAAAAUCUAUGAUCAUUGCUAGAAUACACAUUAGUGGCUAAUAACUUCCUUAGGGAGUUAGAGUACAUCUUGUGUUAUAUGCUGUCAUUUCAUCUUGUAAUCCUUUACUAUACUCAGUCACAACUGAUAAUUAUAUAUUGAUUUUUGUAAUUACUUGUUCAUUGUCCACCUGCCCCUCUAGACCAGAAACUAUAAGGAAAAGCACCAUUUGCUCCCACACAUUGUAUGCAUGGCACCCAGCACAGUGACUUGGGCAUAAUAAAGACUCACGGAAUAUUUGUGGAAUAAAUGAAAAAGUGAAUGAAUGCACAGGACAGAAGGGAUAUCCUGUUAUCAGCAGACCUGUCCUGGUUGAUACCUAAUCAAAUAAGAGAAAGUCCUUGGCAUUUGGGAACAGUGUUCUUUUGCAGGUGCCUCUGGCUUAUGUAGUACAUUCUGAGAAUACAGUUGGUAUUUAUAGUAAUGUUUAUUAGUCACGUGUAAAUUUUACAUGUUCACAAAUGCUUAUAAAAUAAUAGCAUUUAUUGAAUGUUGUCAGGUAGUGCACUUAAGCAUUUUUAUAUGUUAUCUCAUUUAAUCUUGAGAUGUCAGUAUUACUACUCUGUGCAUUUUACAUGUGAGUUUACUGAGGCUUAGAAAAUGAAAUACCUUGCCCUGGGUCACAGAGCUAGUAAAUGCAACAUAAGAGUGGAGACUUGAUCACACCUUUCAGUUUUGUUUAAGUUAUAGACCUUGUGUCAGUGAAAAUUGCAAGUAUCAAACAACCCUACUAACAGAGCCAAAUACAGGAUUUAUCACACAGAAUAAGGUAUCAACAGUAUGCAGUUCAGGCAAUUAUAUUAUCAGGGGCUGUGGGUCUUUUCAUUUUCCUGCUGUACUAUGCUCAGUGUGUGACAACAUCCCCAGUAUUAUAUUUGCAAGAUGGUUGCUGUAUCUCUGGUCAUUGCAUCGGUUCCCAGGAAGAAGGAAAGGUGACAUGUCUCUUAAAUGACUUUCUCAGAAGGCCCAUUCAUUGACUUACACUUCUGUGUCAUUGACAUUUCUAUAUCAUUGGCUGGAACAUAGUUACCUGGCCACCUCUUGCUGUAAUGAAACUAGGACAGUGAAUAUUGAUGACUUUUUUGGCAUUGUUUUUGAUAUUUUAGUUUCUUCAAGUGUGCCAUUGAAAAUCCUAGUGUUGAGAAGUGCAUGACUGCAAAUCACACACUUGAGCAUCCUGUGCUGUAGACAGUGAGGGAGCUUUAAGUUGGGGAGUAUUGUGGUCAGAUUGUGCUUUAGAAGGCACGCUCUGAUGGCUGUGUUUUGGAUUGGGGGAUGACAGAAUGGAAACAGGAAGACACUUUGAAGUACUUUGGGUGAGAGAUCUUAGGAUCCUGAACUAGGAAAAUGUUUGUAGGAAUGAAAAGGAGCCUAAAGAUUCAAAAAAUAGGAGGUCAGAUGGAUAGGAUUUGGUGGUUGAUUGGCUCUGUGGAGACAGGGGGAGAGUGAAGUGUCAAAGGCAGCUCUGGUUCUUGGCAGAAAUGAGUGAGUAGUGCCACCAUCCAGACUAAAGAAGUGUAAAGGGAAAGUGUAAAUUGGUUACCUUUUAGACCCAAGAAGUUUGAAGUAUCUGGGUUUCCUUCAGAUCUUUAUCCAUUAGUUGGGAAAGGAUUAGGAUAGAUUUGUUAUAUGUUACAAAUAAAUUUUUCUUGAUAAUAUCCCUUGGAAUUUUCUUGUUGUCUAGAAGUUUCUAACAUUUGUACAGUUGAUUCUGUUAAUAUUCUCUUUUAUAUUUCUGGCUUUAGUGUCAUACUUAAUGAGUGCCUGGCCUGUCUUAUCCCCACACUGUAGAAAUAUUUAAUAAUUUCUUUUUCCUUAUACUUCUAUGUUUUAAAUAUUGACUUGAUCAGGAUUUUACUUUGGUGAAUAGGAUGAGGUAAGGACAGAAAGGGAAGAACACUUUCAGUUGUUAGAAUAUGACUGAACACGAUUACUAUUUCCAUGGUGUUAUAAUAGAACAUGAAAAUACUGAAGUUUUCUUUUAGAAGUUGCUCUGACUUUUUUUAUGGCUUUGAUGUUUUGAGAAAUACUCUGCUGUUCUUUUCUUUCAAAAAAUAAGACACCCCCAAAUUUUCUUUAUUAUAAAUCAAAAUUAAAAUAUCUGUUUCAUAUAUUCUU